CCUACGGGAGGCAGCAGUAGGGAAUCUUCCACAAUGGGCGAAAGCCUGAUGGAGCAACGCCGCGUGGGUGAAGAAGGUCUUCGGAUCGUAAAACCCUGUUGUUAGAGAAGAAAGUGCGUGAGAGUAACUGUUCACGUUUCGACGGUAUCUAACCAGAAAGCCACGGCUAACUACGUGCCAGCAGCCGCGGUAAUACGUAGGUGGCAAGCGUUAUCCGGAUUUAUUGGGCGUAAAGGGAACGCAGGCGGUCCUUUAAGUCUGAUGUGAAAGCCUUCGGCUUAACCGGAGUAGUGCAUUGGAAACUGGGAGACGUGAGUGCAGAAGAGGAGGGUGGAACUCCAUGUGUAGCGGUGAAAUGCGUAGAUAUAUGGAAGAACACCAGUGGCGAAAGCGGCUCUCUGGUCUGUAACUGACGCUGAGGUUCGAAAGCGUGGGUAUCGAACAGGAUUAGAUACCCGGGUAGUC
rnacentral:rRNA from 1 species